rnacentral:rRNA from 1 species
AACGAACGCUGGCGGCAGGCCUAACACAUGCAAGUCGAGCGGACCUUUCGGGGUCUGCGGCGGACGGGUGAGUAACGCGUGGGAAUAUGCCCUUCUCUACGGAAUAGUCCUGGGAAACUGGGGGUAAUACCGUAUACGCCCUUUGGGGGAAAGAUUUAUCGGGGAAGGAUUAGCCCGCGUUGGAUUAGGUAGUUGGUGGGGUAAUGGCCUACCAAGCCGACGAUCCAUAGCUGGUUUGAGAGGAUGAUCAGCCACACUGGGACUGAGACACGGCCCAGACUCCUACGGGAGGCAGCAGUGGGGAAUCUUAGACAAUGGGGGCAACCCUGAUCUAGCCAUGCCGCGUGAGUGAUGAAGGCCUUAGGGUUGUAAAGCUCUUUCAGCUGGGAAGAUAAUGACGGUACCAGCAGAAGAAGCCCCGGCUAACUCCGU